UAGGAGGGCCUGGUGAGCUGGUGGGCAGCACGGCUGAACUGUCCCUAAGGGAUGGGCUCCUGCAGAGGCCUCACUGCCUCUGGUAUGGUCGUACCAGUGUCAUUACACUGUCUUCUAAAAUGAGCACAGGUUAUGAACAGGAAAUUCACUCAAGACAAGUAUAAAGGCUGACAGUGCGGAUGAUGUGUGAGACCUGUUCCUAGUGCUCUCAGGAAGGACUUUGUCGUUUGGGACCCGAACCAUGAACCUUCCGAACUGGAGAGUGAGAAACGGUCAGAGAGGAUAAAACCCUGAACUUCUGCACGAGUGCCAUAUCACCCCAGCCUUGGUGGUCAUCAUUACCCACUGCAGGGUCAGGUCCAUCCAACUGCUGGUGGGGAAUUGGGCAAUGACCAAUCUGCAUCUUCAUGCUGAAUGAGGUCAUUAUUAGGGAGCAUUGGAU